UGCACACUGCUCAUGUACUUCUUGCCU
rnacentral:piRNA from 1 species